CUUAUCCUAACCUCCAACCUCUUAGAAAAUCUAGUAGAAUCUCCAAACCACCUUCUUGCUUUCAAGACUUUCAUUGUGCACUCCUUUAAGGCUCUAACACAAACCCUAAUGAUGAUAAGGGUAAUCAUAUGUAUCCUUUAUUUAAGUAUUUAUCAUGUCAUAAUUUAUCUCCUACUAAUAAAUUUUUUCCUUAAAUUUUUCUUCUAU
rnacentral:lncRNA from 1 species